rnacentral:rRNA from 1 species
GAGUUUGAUCUUGGGCUCAGAUUGAACGCUGGCGGCAGGCCUAACACAUGCAAGUCGAGCGGAUGACGGGAGCUUGCUCCUUGAUUCAGCGGCGGACGGGUGAGUAAUGCCUAGGAAUCUGCCUGGUAGUGGGGGACAACGUUUCGAAAGGAACGCUAAUACCGCAUACGUCCUACGGGAGAAAGCAGGGGACCUUCGGGCCUUGCGCUAUCAGAUGAGCCUAGGUCGGAUUAGCUAGUUGGUGGGGUAAUGGCUCACCAAGGCGACGAUCCGUAACUGGUCUGAGAGGAUGAUCAGUCACACUGGAACUGAGACACGGUCCAGACUCCUACGGGAGGCAGCAGUGGGGAAUAUUGGACAAUGGGCGAAAGCCUGAUCCAGCCAUGCCGCGUGUGUGAAGAAGGUCUUCGGAUUGUAAAGCACUUUAAGUUGGGAGGAAGGGCAGUAAGUUAAUACCUUGCUGUUUUGACGUUACCGACAGAAUAAGCACCGGCUAACUCUGUGCCAGCAG